rnacentral:rRNA from 1 species
CCAGCAGCUGCGGUAAUUCCAGCUCCAAUAGCGUAUAUUUAAGUUGUUGCAGUUAAAAAGCUCGUAGUUGGAUUUCGGGUGGGUUGCAGCGGUCCGCCUCUGGUGAGUACUGCUUCGGCCUACCUUACUGCCGGGGACGGGCUCCUGGCCUUCACUGGCUGGGACUCGGAGUCGGCGACGUUACUUUGAGUAAAUUAGAGUGUUCAAAGCAAGCCUACGCUCUGAAUACAUUAGCAUGGAAUAACAUGAUAGGACUCUGGCCUAUCUUGUUGGUCUGUAGGACCGGAGUAAUGAUUAAUAGGGACAGUUGGGGGCAUUAGUAUUUCGUUGUCAGAGGUGAAAUUCUUGGAUUUACGAAAGACUAACUUAUGCGAAAGCAUUUGCCAAGGAUGUUUUCAUUAAUCAAGAACGAAAGU